AUUAGUGGCGCACGGGUGAGUAAGGUAUAGUUAAUCUGCCCUACACAAGAGGACAACAGUUGGAAACGACUGCUAAUACUCUAUACUCCUGCUUAACACAAGUUGAGUAGGGAAAGUUUUUCGGUGUAGGAUGAGACUAUAUAGUAUCAGCUAGUUGGUAAGGUAAUGGCUUACCAAGGCUAUGACGCUUAACUGGUCUGAGAGGAUGAUCAGUCACACUGGAACUGAGACACGGUCCAGACUCCUACGGGAGGCAGCAGUAGGGAAUAUUGCGCAAUGGGGGAAACCCUGACGCAGCAACGCCGCGUGGAGGAUGACACUUUUCGGAGCGUAAACUCCUUUUCUUAGGGAAGAAUUCUGACGGUACCUAAGGAAUAAGCACCGGCUAACUCCGUGCCAGCAGCCGCGGUAAUACGGAGGGUGCAAGCGUUACUCGGAAUCACUGGGCGUAAAGGGCGCGUAGGCGGAUUAUCAAGUCUCUUGUGAAAUCUAAUGGCUUAACCAUUAAACUGCUUGGGAAACUGAUAGUCUAGAGUGAGGGAGAGGCAGAUGGAAUUGGUGGUGUAGGGGUAAAAUCCGUAGAUAUCACCAAGAAUACCCAUUGCGAAGGCGAUCUGCUGGAACUCAACUGACGCUAAGGCGCGAAAGCGUGGGGAGCAAACAGGAUUAGAUACCCUGGUAGUCCACGCCCUAAACGAUGUACACUAGUUGUUGGGGUGCUAGUCAUCUCAGUAAUGCAGCUAACGCAUUAAGUGUACCGCCUGGGGAGUACGGUCGCAAGAUUAAAACUCAAAGGAAUAGACGGGGACCCGCACAAGCGGUGGAGCAUGUGGUUUAAUUCGAAGAUACGCGAAGAACCUUACCUGGGCUUGAUAUCCUAAGAACCUUUUAGAGAUAAGAGGGUGCUAGCUUGCUAGAACUUAGAGACAGGUGCUGCACGGCUGUCGUCAGCUCGUGUCGUGAGAUGUUGGGUUAAGUCCCGCAACGAGCGCAACCCACGUAUUUAGUUGCUAACGGUUCGGCCGAGCACUCUAAAUAGACUGCCUUCGUAAGGAGGAGGAAGGUGUGGACGACGUCAAG
rnacentral:rRNA from 1 species